GGGAGGGGGAGGGGCGCAUCUGCACCGAAUAGAUAAGCCGCUGAGGGUUAGGGAGACACUUUAGACCUGACUUUGGCGUCCGAGGGGAAGGGUCUUCCAGGAAAAACACAUUCUAAAAUAACACGUGAUGUUGCAUUGUGCUCCAGCUUGGGUGUCGUCUCCAGAAAAGUGCAACCAAUGCUGCAACGUUUCCUUUGACUCUGGCUCAUUUUAGCAUUAAGACUGUCAGAAUUUGGAAUGGGGAUGCUGUUCAUAGACUCCAGGACUGUUUUUAUGUGUUCAAUGAGCAGAGAACACUGAGUGACCCUAGACUGGGACUGCAGGAAUACACAACCACUGUUUUGGAGUACAUUAACUGCUGUGUGGACAAUGUCACCAGCAAGAAAACAGUUUGAGUGUUUCCCAACCAGAAGCCAUGGAUGACACAGGAGGUGGGAUCACUGUUAAGGUUGCGUGAUGCUGCCUACAGGUCUGGGGAUGCUACAGCAUACAAUGUGGGGAGGAUGGCACUGUAGAAGGACAUAAGUUCUGCAAAAGCCAGUCACAAGCAGCCGGUUUAAAGCACUUCAACAACCCCACAGACACAAGGCAGGUGUGGGAGGGAAAAAGAGCAAUCACUGACUACAAAUGAAAACCAUCUCUCUCUGCUAACAGCUCUCCUUCCCUUACUGAGGAGUUGAACCUGUUUUAUGCUCAGUUUGACAGAGAUAAUAGUAGCCCAGUGCUGCAUCCACUCCCCUCCAAUGAGGUUGCACCUAUCCUGAGUGCACACAAGGUCAGGUUCUGCCGACAGAAUGUCAAACCCAGAAAGAACUCCGGACCGGAUGAUGUUACAGGCCAGGUCCUAAAGGACUGUACUGACCGGUUGACUGAGGUAUUCACUGACAUUUACAAUCACUCCCUCACUGUGUCAUGUGUCCCUCCCUGCCUUAAAACAUCCACAAUAAUCCUCGUACCAAAACAGGCAGCAGCCACAUGGUUGAAGGACUACAGGCUCGUGGCUGUCACGCGCCUACCAGCCAAAUGCUUGGAGAGACUGGCGCUGAAGCACAUCAGAACUGUCAUCCCAGCCUCCUUCGACCACCAUCAGUUUGCCUACAGGGAGAACGGUUCUACGGAAGAUGCUGUUGCCAAUGUGCUCCACACUGCACUCGAGCAUGUGGAGCAACAAAACGCAUACGUACAAAGAUCUUCCUCAACUUUAGCUUUGCCUUUAACACCAUCCUGCCAGGCAAACUCCUCACAGAACUGCAAGACUUAAACAUCAACCCCUCACUGUUCAACAGCGCAAGUGCCCCACAGGAUGUGUGCUCAGUCCACUGCUCCACACACGACUGUUCUCUCUCCUAUCCAGCCAACUAUAUUGCCAAAUUUGCAGAUGACACUACUGUGCUCGGACUUAUUACUAACAACAAUGACUCUGCAUACAGGAGGGAAGUUCAGCAUCUGGUCUCAUGGUGUGUAGAGCAUGAUCUCAGCCUUAAUAUCAAGAAGACCAAAGAGAUUACUGUAGAUUUCAACAAGUUAGGACAGCACCAUCCAUUAUACUGAACAUCAGCGCAGAGGGAGAGCAGCGGAGACUAUCCUCACCAGUGGCUGAGCAUCUGCUUCCAUUGGGAGUACUGCGAGCAGUUUAUCCAGACUGGUCUGUGGAGCUGCCUGCCAGGUCUAGAGCGAAACCUCCAGACAGAGGUCCUGGACCCCCUCCUAACCCUCCGGAUUGAUGAAGCACAUGGCCUCCAGAUAGAGGACAUGCCCCUCCCCGGACUGCACCCACCAGCUCUGUCCCUAACUGCUGACCCUGUGGAGCCUGCCUUCCUCCCCCUCUUCCCUCAGUUAAUGAGUUUCUGGCCAU